AAUCAACGCUGGCGGCGUGCCUAACACAUGCAAGUCGAACGGGGAAAGCCUUCGGGCGAGUACUAGUGGCGCACGGGUGAGUAACACGUGGGUAAUCUACCUUAAAGUGGGGAAUAACCAGUCGAAAGACUGGCUAAUACCGCAUAAGGCCACAGGAUCUGCGGAUCUAGGGGUUAAAGGAGCAAUUCGCUUUAAGAUGAGCCCGCGCGGGAUUAGCUAGUUGGUGAGGUAACGGCUCACCAAGGCUCUGAUCUCUAGCUGGUCUGAGAGGAUGAUCAGCCACAC
rnacentral:rRNA from 1 species